GUUGAAACUCCAGUUCUCAUUGGAUCACUGAAGUUAAGCAAUGGCAAGCCUGGUCAGUACCUAGGUGGGUGACUGCUUGGGAAUACCACAUGCUGUAA